rnacentral:rRNA from 1 species
CCUACGGGAGGCAGCAGUGAGGAAUAUUGGUCAAUGGACGAGAGUCUGAACCAGCCAAGUAGCGUGAAGGAUGACUGCCCUAUGGGUUGUAAACUUCUUUUAUAAAGGAAUAAAACGAGGCACGUGUGCCUUUUUGCAUGUACUUUAUGAAUAAGGAUCGGCUAACUCCGUGGCAGCAGCCGCGGUAAUACGGAGGAUCCGAGCGUUAUCCGGAUUUAUUGGGUUUAAAGGGAGCGUAGAUGGGUUGUUAAGUCAGUUGUGAAAGUUUGCGGCUCAACCGUAAAAUUGCAAUUGAUACUGGCAGUCUUGAGUACAGUUGAGGUAGGCGGAAUUCGUGGUGUAGCGGUGAAAUGCUUAGAUAUCACGAAGAACCCCGAUUGCGAAGGCAGCUUACUAAACUGUGACUGACAUUGAUGCUCGAAAGUGUGGGUAUCAAACAGGAUUAGAUACCCCUGUAGUC